AUUGAACGCUGGCGGCAGGCCUAACACAUGCAAGUCGAGCGGAUGAAGGGAGCUUGCUCCUGGAUUCAGCGGCGGACGGGUGAGUAAUGCCUAGGAAUCUGCCUGGUAGUGGGGGAUAACGUCCGGAAACGGGCGCUAAUACCGCAUACGUCCUGAGGGAGAAAGUGGGGGAUCUUCGGACCUCACGCUAUCAGAUGAGCCUAGGUCGGAUUAGCUAGUUGGUGGGGUAAAGGCUUACCAAGGCGACGAUCCGUAACUGGUCUGAGAGGAUGAUCAGUCACACUGGAACUGAGACACGGUCCAGACUCCUACGGGAGGCAGCAGUGGGGAAUAUUGGACAAUGGGCGAAAGCCUGAUCCAGCCAUGCCGCGUGUGUGAAGAAGGUCUUCGGAUUGUAAGGCACUUUAAGUUGGGAGGAAGGGCAGUAAGUUAAUACCUUGCUGUUUUGACGUUACCAACAGAAUAAGCACCGGCUAACUUCGUG
rnacentral:rRNA from 1 species